GGGGACUUUAGUUUCUUUGCACUUUUCAAUGACGAGGACAAGGUGAUCUGGUUUUGGUCUUUACUUCCUUUGGUCUUUGGGUUUGAAAUUGUCAGAGAAUUUAAUUUCUCCUGAAGAACAUGCCGAUGGGAGGAAAUGUUCCCUUAAACUGGGAUAUUUCUAGAGUUCUUCAAAUUAUUUGCGGAGCAUUUACAUUUUCUAUUGCGUAUUAUUGAGGACUCUUGCUGAACUAUUUGAAGGCACGCAUAACGGGUACAAUGGCUCUGUCUUGGGCACAGAGUGAUCUUGGCGCUAAUCUAGAUAAUGUCUUCUGAAUUGUUUCAGAGCUUUGGGGUCAAACUUUCCUGUUUCUGCCAUUUAUUGAGCACUUCCUGUCCGUUCGGAUGACUACAGGCCACCUCGUCUGCCUCAACUAUCUUGGCGUGGGCUCCCCCUGCCAGCACAUCACUGCUUCCCUAAGUCAACUGAUUCCUGGUUGAGAAUCAGCCAGCCCACCUGACUGCAGACACACACCGCGUCGUCAAGGUCGGCCUCAUCAGCCACGCGUGUGCUGUUUUGGCCGCAGAUGCUGGUUCCUCUGACUGACUUGCCAGAUGGCUCAGAACUCACGGCGCUGGUCACCCUCCCUAGUCUGGCAUCUGCCCUCACCACUGGGACGUAGCCGUGCCUCUGCAGGGAUGGCUAUGGGGAACCAUCUUCCUGAAUCUUGAUUGGACCGCCCUGGAGGAGCGGACCUCUUCUCUUUCGGCUGCUGAACUGAGAUGGGAAGGCGGCUCGAUUCCGGCCAUCCUGUGCCCUACGCAUCCUGCACACCCGGCCGAAAUGUUGAGAACACAGAGCAGAGAGAUAGAAAGAUGGGCUAUUUGGGUCACGGUGGGAUUACCAACCCCCUAGCCAUUCUGCCCUCCGUGUGUGAGCCAACAGUCACCUCCAUUGUCCACAUCGCCUCAGGUCGAGGUUUCGGCGACUUGCAGACCUUUGUGUUCUCUUGGCUUCAACUAUCAUUGACUUGCAGACUAUGUGCACGUUGGCACCGUGCCGGACUAAUCCUCAGAGUCUGGAAUGCGCAAGGCUUCAGUACCUAGUUAGGUCAAAGACUCCUUUAGCGCAGGAAGCCUGAAGACCACACUGCGAUCUGUCCCCUUACACCUGUUACCCUCCCACAUUCCGCACUGGACCGUGUGCUGCCCACACCCACCCUGCUACGCAAGUAGAGACCUGGAGGCCCUCCCUGGUACCCCCUUCUCCCUCACCCUUCCUAGCCAAACCUCCAGCCUAGAAAGUCUCUCUCAUGCUGCUUCUCCUCUCGUCCUCAUCGCCUGUCCCCCAGGACACGCCAUCACCCCUGUCUUCCGACCUCGGACUCCCCGAUCGCGUGUCUGCUAUCAACCCUCCCCUGUCUCCCUACAUGGUCAUCGCAUGACCCCCCCGACCAGGCCUGUUUUCAUUCGCCAUCGCGUCUCCAGAGCCCAGCACUGUGAUGUCACCUAGAACGUGCCAGUAAAGACUUGGUGCUCCCGGAGCGGGUCCCUUCCAGAGCGUAUGCACCCCCGGGGCGGGGAGGUGCCUAUGCACACAGUGCCAGAGGGUGGCUUAAUUUCUCAGGCCUCAUUGUUCCGCAGCCGGAAAGACUGACAUUGGUGCAGGCAGUGUCUUGUCUGAUCACGUCCCCCUUGGGUACUGGCUAGGUAACAGGCCCUCUGGGCAGAUAGAGAGGACAAGGUCCACAGGGCCUGCAUCAGGGGCACAGAUAGGCCGAGGGAAGCGCCCCUUCACACAGCUGGGUCUCGUAGCAGCUUCACCUAAAAGGGAGGUGGAGACAGAGCACAGAAAGUCAUGGUGUCUUCUCCCUGAACAGAUAUGACUUAAGGAGCCGGCCAGCGGCUCUGUCAUCAUGACGGCUAUACGGCGUCCCUCCACUGUACGUGCCGAAGUCACCGUGUGUCAGGCUGAGCGGCCCCACCGGCAGGUGCGUUUCCGAGUCAACCUGUGGGGUGAGCCUGGCCUUAGUGGGUGAGGAAGAAAGGGGGCACGGGAAUCACAGCCUUGCCCGGGGGCUGGAGGCUGGCUCCCCAUCUGCCAGCAGUAGCAAAGCACCUGCAGAGAACCAUUGGCCCCUCGGUCCAAGCUAAGGGCAGGAGGGAGACGAUUCGCAGCCACGGCAAGAGGGGGGCUGGGGAGGCGGUGUCCUCGGGGAGCGGCGCACUCAGGAAAAGGAAGGGGAGAGAAAGUUCACAGGAGAGAAGUGGCUGAGUCUGUGGGGUCUUUGCGGGAGACUGGGAAAGGACCGUUUGGAAGGGGCUUGGACCCCGAGCGGUCCCAAGUGGGGGCAUUUCGUUCCACUGUCACGCUUGGCAGAGCUAUGACAAUUUUGAGUUCAGGCCACUCCACGUUUCUAGGGAAGCGGCACCAACAGAGGCGGGGGCCUUGCCCUCUGACCCGACUGUCCCCAGCACGAGUGAGCGGACUGAGCUGACCCCCGUCACGUGCCGAGACAGAAUGUUUCUGUUUUAGUCACUCCGUGGGUCAUCGACCACAAGUGCACGCACACACGGGGGCUGGGAGGGAUCUGCCCCCUCCCCGUUACUAGAGCACUGGGUCCACCCCCUCCUGUUUUAACUGUCCAAACAUGAAAAGACGUUAGUACCUGGAGAAUCUUCUCUCUGAGACUGAAGUUCGUUUCCUGACUGCCGACUGGCGUCCGAGCAAGGAGAAACACCUCCAAAGGGACGUCACGCGAGGGAGAAACGUCUUUUCCCUGUAAAGCCUGUUGUGAACGUCACCUUCUUGCCUGGCCCGGUGGGCUGACUGGCCCUGGGCUCUGCUCCCGCGGGCGGCGACCCGUUCGUAGACACACGGGGGGCGGUGAUGCGUCUCCGAUGUCAGGGGUCCACCUCAGGCACACAAAUGUAGAAUCUGUCAUCCCCGGGAGACUGGGGGGGGGGGGGAAAGCCUGAGAUAAUCUGGGAGCAUCUUCCAGGCAGCAUCUGGUCGGAGGAGACACUCUGGGUCACGAGCCACACCCUCUGGGAGCGUUCCUCUCCUGCCGACUCUACGUUAGCCGCCGAAUCCUACCACCCACCCGUCUCCCCGGCUCUGGGCUGUUUUUACUCUAAACUCAGAUGCCUUUGGAUCUCUUGCUCCAGUGGCCGUCCGCGUCGUAGGGGAGCCCUAAUUCCCUGAGCGUGCAAGAGACAGGCAGCAUCUGAAGGGAGGCGGGGGAGGGAGAGACAGGGGAGGGAGAGCCAUGCCAACACCAGCUUGGCCACUGAGUCACAUUUCCUGAAGGGGGCACGGGAAAGUCGCCUUGCAAAUCCCAGACUCGAAGUCCUGUCACCAACUCAUCCUUCGGUGGAAUUAGGACCCACAAACCUGCACUCUGACUUCACCAGCCAGCUCUUCAGGGAGCCGUUCGCAAGCAGGUGCACAGCCUGCCCUGGCCCCAGCUGCCCUUGGGGCCACCAUGCCCCCACUGGACCCCACUAGACCCCGCUGGACCCCACUGGACCCCACUGGACAGAGAGAGGCAUUCACUUUUCUUCUGUGCUGUCACACUGGCUGGAAUCCAGUUGCACAGAAAUAAAUACUCACCGUACGUGAUCCCACCUGGCGGGGAGCCACGUGCUUUGAUCAAUGGCAGCUGCCGGACGCGGCAAACGAUUCGCUGCAGAGGGCGAGGGGCCCGUGGGGUUCAAGUGAGAUGUGCCUCGGCAAAGGAGCCUGGCCGGACAACGACCCACUUUCCGCGUCUGCUCCCACCCCCAACGACCGGCUACAAUCUGUAGGAGCAGCUGUUUAAACGGACCCUUUCUUGGAUGCUGCUUCUCCUCUGGUCCUUCGCGAAGAUGUUCAGGGACGCUGGAGACCGGAGCUGGUGCCACUCAGGCGGGCUUCACCGUGUCAGGACAGGCCCCCCGGGGCCCUCGCUGAGCGCCUCUUAUACGGAGUCUGUUGCUGGAAACGGAGCAGGUCAGAGCCGAGGGCCAGAGCCGGGAGGAGCGACGUGCCCACCGCAGGGACCGGUGUGGCCUGGGCAGCCAGGAGGGACACGCACUAACAGGGCUGGACGCCAGACGCCAGCCCCGCUGGCCCGAGAUCUCACGACGGCCAAGCUCUGCUCUUCCGAAGCCGGAGGGAGCUUCCGCACGGCCUGCGUUUGUGCGGCGCCUUGUCAUUUGCGAGCGCGUUCACCCAGUCACCUCACUGGACUUCAGAAUCACGAGAACCGGUGAGGUGUGAGUCUUGCCCCCAUCUCGGCGUCUUGUGCUCGCGGCUCAUCGGUCUUCCUUUUCCCCGUCGCUGGAGCGGCUGAGGUGCCGUGAGGCGUCUCCAUUUCAGAGUGGGGACGGGCCCCUCAGAUGUCCUGGCGUACGGGAGCGUUCUGUUUCCCUAACACUUGCCUCCCCGGCGGCCAGCGUUACAGACGGUCCUGCCGUAUCAGGACACGCGAUGCCUGAAGUGAUGUGUGUCCUUGGGCCGAGGGACCGAGCUCGCCUCCGUCCCCGGGCGUGCCAAACCCCACACCGCUUGCCGUCCUCUGGGACGGUGCUCGCCGUGAGCAUCGAGAGGCGCCGCCCGCGGAAGGCAACCGUCCCCACCGACUGCCUGUCACCCAGCAGGAGGCGUCCUUUGUUCCUGCAUCUUUGGUUGUGUGUGGCCUGUUGGCCGAGGGACCGCGCAGGGUGGGACUGACUCCUCAUCAGCCCGAGGCUGAAAUGACCUCCCGCUUCACAGCUGGAGGAAGGCAGCUACUCUGACGGGAAGAAGAAAUGGAAAUAGAAGGUAGUGAUCACAAAAUAGGCAGAACCGUAGAAAGAUCCCUCCGGGCUCCCAGGAGAGCAGGUGGCCUGGGUCCAGAGGUGUGUAGCGGGGGGGGGAUGGGAGCCAGAAUGCACCUGCCGGGCAGAGGGAGCACCGGCCGUUCCCCCUGCCCCUCCUGUACCUGCAGCAAAGGCCGCCCUCCAGCCCGGACCGAGUAACUUGGGCCAUGAGGGGACGCGGCGGGUGGUUCUGUCCAAUCUGGGAUGACCGUCUGUGGGAGGAAGCUACGUCAUAGGAACCCCUGUGGGGGCCUGAACGAUCCAGUAUUGCACAUGAUUGAGGACGCUGGAGAAGGUUGUCGUCCGUGGUCGAUCUCCCAGAAGGGUGUGGGCUUGUUGGGGCUGCGGGUGAGGGAAGGGGUCUACGCUUCUCCUGUGAACGUCUGUCAGUCACCCUGACUCGUGAGUGGGGGACGUCAGUGUGCUGCCCCACGUGGCGUCCCUCUUCUCUCUCUGCCCCUCCCCUGCUCAUGCUCUGUCUCUCUCUGCCACAAAAAUAAAUAAAAACAUU